GUUUCUCGAAGCUCAUGGCAAAGUUCAAAGAAUGUCCAUCACAAAUGCUUACUGCCAGAAAAUCUCACAAUGACAAAUUUCCAAUGUCAGAAUAAAUCAUGCAAUGCUUCCAGACUGUCCAUCUGAACAACUUCAGGUACAUCUCCUCUAUCUUCCAUUUGAAGCCUCCUACCCUGGUUUGCCAGCAUCUCGCUUACCUCCAAUAGAAG